UUUCCGUAGGUGAACCUGCGGAAGGAUCAUUAAAGAGAAUAUGCCCUUCGGGGUAGAUCUCCCACCCUUUGUUUAUAUUACCUUUGUUGCUUUGGCAGGCCCGUCUUCGGACCACCGGCUUCGGCUGGUCAGUGCUUGCCAGAGGACCCAAAACCCUUAUUAUUAAUUUCGUCUGAGUACUAUAUAAUAGUUAAAACUUUCAACAACGGAUCUCUUGGUUCUG
rnacentral:misc_RNA from 1 species